AAGAGACAGCAGUAGCCGCGGUAAUACGGAGGGUGCAAGCGUUAUCCGGAUUCACUGGGUUUAAAGGGUGCGUAGGCGGAUCUGUAAGUCAGUGGUGAAAUCUCCAGGCUUAACCUGGAAACUGCCGUUGAUACUAUAGGUCUUGAAUUUUGUGGAGGUUAGCGGAAUAUGUCAUGUAGCGGUGAAAUGCAUAGAUAUGACAUAGAACACCAAUUGCGAAGGCAGCUGGCUACACAACUAUUGACGCUGAGGCACGAAAGCGUGGGGAUCAAACAGGAUUAGAUACCCCCGUAGUCCCUGUCUCUUAUAC
rnacentral:rRNA from 1 species